rnacentral:rRNA from 1 species
CCUACGGGUGGCAGCAGUGAGGAAUAUUGGUCAAUGGGCGCGAGCCUGAACCAGCCAAGUAGCGUGAGGGAUGACGGCCCUACGGGUUGUAAACUUCUUUUAUAAGGGAAUAAAGUGCGGCACGUGUGCCUUUUUGUAUGUACUUUAUGAAUAAGGAUCGGCUAACUCCGUGCCAGCAGCCGCGGUAAUACGGAGGAUCCGAGCGUUAUCCGGAUUUAUUGGGUUUAAAGGGAGCGUAGAUGGGUUGUUAAGUCAGUUGUGAAAGUUUGCGGCUCAACCGUAGAAUUGCAGUUGAUACUGGAAGCCGUGAGUAUGUUUGAGGUAGGCGGAAUGCGUGGUGUAGCGGUGAAAUGCUUAGAUAUCACGCAGAACCCCGAUUGCGAAGGCAGCUUACUAAACCGUCACUGACACUGAUGCUCGAAAGUGUGGGUAUCAAACAGGAUUAGAUACCCCAGUAGUC